ACGAGAAAUUUCCUUCGGGAAUGAGUAAAGUGGCGCAAGGGUGAGUAACACGUGAACAACCUACCCCCGAAUCUGGGAUAACCUGGCGAAAGUCGGGCUAAUACCGGAUAUGACCACACUUCACAAGAAGUGCGGUAAAAGGAGGCUCAACCUUCGUUUGGGGAUGGGUUCGCGGACCAUUAGCUAGUUGGUGGGAUAAUAGCUCACCAAGGCUACGAUGGUUAGCCGGCCUGAGAGGGUGAUCGGCCACACUGGAACUGAGACACGGUCCAGACUCCUACGGGAGGCAGCAGUGGGGAAUAUUGCGCAAUGGGCGAAAGCCUGACGCAGCAACGCCGCGUGAGGGAUGAAGGCCUUCGGGUUGUAAACCUCUGUCAAAUGGGAAGAAAUCUGACGGUACCAUUAAAGGAAGCCCCGGCUAACUCCGUGCCAGCAGCCGCGGUAAUACGGAGGGGGCAAGCGUUGUUCGGAAUCAUUGGGCGUAAAGCGUAUGUAGGCGGUCGAUUAAGUCAGGCGUGAAAGCCCGUGGCUCAACUACGGAAUUGCGUUUGAAACUGAUCGGCUUGAGUGCAGGAGAGGAAAGCGGAAUUCCCAGUGUAGCGGUGAAAUGCAUUGAUAUUGGGAAGAACACCAGUGGCGAAGGCGGCUUUCUGGACUGUUACUGACGCUGAGAUACGAAAGCUAGGGGAGCGAACGGGAUUAGAUACCCCGGUAGUCCUAGCCGUAAACGAUGGGCACUAUGUGCAGGAAGUAUCGAUCCUUUCUGUGUCGUAGCUAACGCGUUAAGUGCCCCGCCUGGGGAGUACGGUCGCAAGGCUGAACUCAAAGGAAUUGACGGGGCCGCACAAGCGGUGGAGCAUG
rnacentral:rRNA from 1 species